GACGAACGCUGGCGGCGUGCUUAACACAUGCAAGUCGAACGGUGAAGGGACCGGUUUUUGCUGGUUCUGGAUGAGUGGCGAACGGGUGAGUAACACGUGAGUAACCUGCCCCCUUCUUCUGGAUAACCGCAUGAAAGUGUGGCUAAUACGGGAUAUUCUGCGCCUGCUGCAUGGUGGGUGUGGGAAAGAUAUUGUUUCGGUGGGGGAUGGGCUCGCGGCCUAUCAGCUUGUUGGUGGGGUGAUGGCCUACCAAGGCGGUGACGGGUAGCCGGCCUGAGAGGGUGGACGGUCACACUGGGACUGAGACACGGCCCAGACUCCUACGGGAGGCAGCAGUGGGGAAUAUUGCACAAUGGGCGCAAGCCUGAUGCAGCGACGCCGCGUGAGGGAUGGAGGCCUGCGGGUUGUAAACCUCUUUCGCCAGUGAAGCAGGCCUGUCCCUUUUGUGGGUGGGUUGACGGUAGCUGGAUAAGAAGCGCCGGCUAACUACGUG
rnacentral:rRNA from 1 species